rnacentral:lncRNA from 1 species
AUGUUCUUUACCCCAGAAACACCUCUGAAUUUGUGGUUACUGGGGUUUGCGCAGGCGUAUCUGCAGUUCUGCCAUCAUGUUGGGGUGCAUAGGUCCAAACCUGAAGUGGCAGAAAGAAUGUGCAGAGUGAGACAAAAAGCAGGUCAUGGAUCCCAAUUUCUACCUGUUUCCCCCUCAGUUCCUAGCAGGCAGUUGGACAGAACAUUCAUAUUUACCCAGAAUGCCUCAGGAUUGGCCUGCUUGUUGCUUGUGCUGGAGGUGGAGGUGGAGUGUCCUCAACGCUUUGCAUCUCCUGAGUCAGGACAGCUGCCUUCAUGCCUUCUCUCCCUCGCAUCUCUUGAAUCUUCUGCUCCUGGAUGAGGAUCAUCUCCAAGGAGGUAGGUGGUGAAGGAGGAAGCAAAACUCUGAGGGUGAAGUAGAGAGGAUGAAACAUUGAAAACAGAGUAAUGAGCUAGGAAUCCAGCUGACUUCCUCUGGAAAAACCAUGGGCCCUGGAUCCCACUCAAGCUGGACUGACAACCCAGAGAAAGGGGUUUUUGCUAACCACUGCCUGUUGCAGAGCCCCGAGCAGACGUUGAAGGUACUCCAUCAGACGCUGGGAUCAGGUGGAGAUAAGGUAAAAAAACAGCAGCUUCCCCUUUCUCCCCAGGGAGGGAAGUAAACAUCAUCACAACUUUUAACCACAUGCUCCUCCUCUUCCUUGCAGUCAUAGCCACGGUCCAUUCUGGCUUUACACAACUGCAAAAGCAGCGACAGCUCACCACAAAGCGGACGGAAACAAGAAGCCUUUGGACAGUCAGGCAGCGUCAACUAUUGGCUGAGUCAGCCUCAAAUGAGAGGAGUGCAAAACCAUCCCCAAAACAACAUCAGUCGUGCUAUUGAAACCACUGAAAUGUCCCUCAGAAGCUUUUUUGUUGUUGUGCCAGCAGGGUCUCUUCAGAUUAAUUUGUUUCUGUUUCCUGGAAAUAUCAUGGCAACUUCAUCUGAAAUCUACGCUGGCCUGUGAUGAACUCUGACUGAAAACCCACCUACAAGCAAAGGACAGAAUCUGUUGUGGACUUCAGGGUCAAGUUUGGCGUAACUGGGAAACCCAGCACGGCUUUGGGGGUCACAGUUUUCUAUUCUGCACAGAACUAUUUAUUAUUAUCAUGUUCUUUACUCUCAAAAUGGGGACGUUGAAGGCAGUUAACAGCCAUAAUAAUUUUUAAUGGUUUAGUUUGAAAAAAAGGCAGAGGUCAAAAUAAGCAAAACUGUGCAUUGUACACUGAAGAAAUACAAUUUCAUGCACAAAUUGUCUCGGCUGUGAAUCCAUCCAGUUAAAUGGUGCUGGCUUUUUUUAAAAUGCUUUUUCAACAGAAGC